UACGUAGGGUGCGAGCGUUGUCCGGAAUUAUUGGGCGUAAAGAGCUUGUAGGCGGUUUGUCGCGUCUGCCGUGAAAAUCCGGGGCUCAACCCCGGACUUGCGGUGGGUACGGGCAGACUAGAGUGUGGUAGGGGAGACUGGAAUUCCUGGUGUAGCGGUGAAAUGCGCAGAUAUCAGGAGGAACACCGGUGCGAAGGCGGGUCUCUGGGCAGUACUGACGCUGAGGAAGCGAAAGCGUGGGGGAGCGAACAGG
rnacentral:rRNA from 1 species